rnacentral:rRNA from 1 species
UACGAAGGGGGCUAGCGUUGUUCGGAAUCACUGGGCGUAAAGGGUGCGUAGGCGGGUCUUUAAGUCAGGGGUGAAAUCCUGGAGCUCAACUCCAGAACUGCCUUUGAUACUGAAGAUCUUGAGUUCGGGAGAGGUGAGUGGAACUGCGAGUGUAGAGGUGAAAUUCGUAGAUAUUCGCAAGAACACCAGUGGCGAAGGCGGCUCACUGGCCCGAUACUGACGCUGAGGCACGAAAGCGUGGGGAGCAAACAGGGA